rnacentral:rRNA from 1 species
GGGGGGGGGGGGGGGGGGGGGGGGGGGGGGGGGGGGGGGGGGAGGGGGCGGGGGUGUGGGGGGGGGUCGAGGGGCGCGCGGGGGGGGCACGCGUGGGGCACCUGGCCGUGACAGCGAGGUAGGGUCAGGCAACUGGGGCGAAUUCAGGGAAGGAGGUCCAGAUGGAUGGUGGGGCUUGGGACGUUUCGGAGGUUGGGGAUGGACUGGCGGCUUAUCAGGUUGUUGGUGGGGUGGUGGCUUACCAAGGCCUUGACGGGUAGCCGGACGUAGAGGGUGACCGGCCACAUUGGGACGGAGAUACGGACCAGACUCCUACGGGAGGCAGCAGUGGGGAAUAUUGCACAAUGGGCGGAAGCCUGAUGCAGCAACGCCGCGUGCGGGAUGACGGCCUUCGGGUUGUAAACCGCUUUCGCCUGUGACGAAGCGUGAGUGACGGUAAUGGGUAAAGAAGCACCGGCUAACUACGUG